UACAGAGGGGGCAAGCGUUGUUCGGAAUUAUUGGGCGUAAAGGGCGCGUAGGCGGCGCGACAAGUCACCUGUGAAAUCUCCGAGCUUAACUCGGAGCCUGCAGGCGAAACUGUCGUGCUGGAGUAUGGGAGAGGUGCGUGGAAUUCCCGGUGUAGCGGUGAAAUGCGCAGAUAUCAGGAGGAACACCGAUUGCGAAGGCAGCUCGCUGGGACGUAACUGACGCUGAGACGCGAAAGCGUGGGGAGCGAACAGG
rnacentral:rRNA from 1 species